CACGGGGGGAGCAAGCGUUGUUCGGAAUCACUGGGCGUAAAGGGCGUGUAGGCGGUCAGGUAAGUGGAAUGUGAAAUCCCUCGGCUCACCCGAGGACCUGCAUCCCAAACUGCCUGGCUUGAGUAUGGGAGAGGGUGAGGGAAUUCCUGGUGUAGCGGUGAAAUGCGUAGAUAUCAGGAGGAAUACCGGUGGCGAAGGCGGCAUCCUGGACCGACAUUGACGCUGAGGAGCGAAAGCCAGGGGAGCAAACGGG
rnacentral:rRNA from 1 species